rnacentral:rRNA from 1 species
UACGGAGGGUGCAAGCGUUUAUCCGGAUUCACUGGGUUUAAAGGGUGCGUAGGCGGGUAGGUAAGUCCGUGGUGAAAUCUCUGAGCUUAACUCAGAAACUGCCGUGGAUACUAUUUGCCUUGAAUAUUGUGGAGGUGAGCGGAAUAUGUCAUGUAGCGGUGAAAUGCUUAGAUAUGACAUAGAACACCAAUUGCGAAGGCAGCUCACUACACAAUGAUUGACGCUGAGGCACGAAAGCGUGGGGAUCAAACAGG